rnacentral:rRNA from 1 species
AACGAACGCUGGCGGCAUGCCUAACACAUGCAAGUCGAACGAAGGCUUCGGCCUUAGUGGCGCACGGGUGCGUAACGCGUGGGAAUCUGCCCUUGGGUUCGGAAUAACAGUGAGAAAUUACUGCUAAUACCGGAUGAUGUCGAAAGACCAAAGAUUUAUCGCCCAGGGAUGAGCCCGCGUAGGAUUAGCUAGUUGGUGAGGUAAAGGCUCACCAAGGCGACGAUCCUUAGCUGGUCUGAGAGGAUGAUCCGCCACACUGGGACUGAGACACGGCCCAGACUCCUACGGGAGGCAGCAGUGGGGAAUAUUGGACAAUGGGCGAAAGCCUGAUCCAGCAAUGCCGCGUGAGUGAUGAGGGCCUUAGGGUUGUAAAGCUCUUUUACCCGGGAUGAUAAUGACAGUACCGGGAGAAUAAGCCCCGGUUAACUCCGCGCCAGCCGCCGCCGUAAUAC